rnacentral:rRNA from 1 species
CUCAAAUUUGAAAGCUGGCUCCUUCGGGGCCCGCGUUGUAAUUUGUAGAGGAUGCUUCGGGCGCGGCGCCGGUCUAAGUUCUCUGGAACGAGACGUCAUAGAGGGUGAGAAUCCCGUAUGUGACUGGCUGCCUGUGCCCAUGUGAAGCUCCUUCGACGAGUCGAGUUGUUUGGGAAUGCAGCUCAAAAUGGGAGGUGUACUCCUUCUAAAGCUAAAUAUUGGCCAGAGACCGAUAGCGCACAAGUAGAGUGAUCGAAAGAUGAAAAGCACUUUGGAAAGAGAGUUAAACAGUACGUGAAAUUGUUGAAAGGGAAGCGCUUGCAAUCAGACUUGCGCGGCGUCGAUCAGCCUGGGUUCUCCCUGGUGCACUCGGCGCCGCUCAGGCCAGCAUCAGUUUCGGCGGUGGGAUAAAGGCCUAGGGAACGUGGGUCCCCUCGGGGACCGUUAUAGCCCUAGGUGCAAUGCCGCCUGCCG